AGGUUGACCUCGGAUCAGGUAGGGAUACCCGCUGAACUUAAGCAUAUCAAUAAGCGGAGGAAAAGAAACCAACCGGGAUUGCCUCAGUAACGGCGAGUGAAGCGGCAAAAGCUCAAAUUUGAAAUCUGGCC
rnacentral:rRNA from 1 species